rnacentral:sRNA from 12 species
CCUUAGGAGAGUCAUACCAAACUGGAGUAGCUUAUUAUAGCAAAACAGGACUCUAAGAAUAAGGAA